GCCCCUGUAGCUCAGCUGGCUAGAGCAAGUCACUUUUAAUGACGAGGUCCCGGGUUCGAGUCCCGGCGGGGGCA
rnacentral:tRNA from 1 species